rnacentral:rRNA from 1 species
AGCGUAGGCGGACAUUUAAGUCAGGGGUGAAAUCCCGGGGCUCAACCUCGGAAUUGCCUUUGAUACUGGGUGUCUUGAGUAUGAGAGAGGUGUGUGGAACUCCGAGUGUAGAGGUGAAAUUCGUAGAUAUUCGGAAGAACACCAGUGGCGAAGGCGACACAUUGGCUCAUUACUGACGCUGAGGCUCGAAAGCGUGGGGAGCAAACA